ensembl:lncRNA
AGUAUAGUUGAUUUACAAUGUUGUGCUGACUUCUGUUAUAUGCAGUCACUCAGUCAUAUAUAUAUACAUUCACAUAUAUAUGCACAUAUGCACAUUCUUUUUUAAAUAUAUAUUGUUACUAUUAUUAUUAUUAUUUGUCUUUUAGGGCCAUGCCCAUAGCAUAUGGAAGUUCCCAGGCUAGGGGUUGAACUGGAGCUGGAACCACCAGCCUACAGCAUAGCCAUAGCAACACCAGAUCCGAGCUGUGUUUGUGAUCUAUACCACAGCUUAUGGCAACGCUGGAUCCUUAACCCAGAGCAGGGCUAGGGAUUGAACCUGCGUCCCUCAUGGAUACUAGUUGGGUUUGUCACUGCUGAGCCAUAAUGGGAAAUCCUGCUUAUCCAUUUUAAAUGUAAUAGGUCACACCUAUUAACCCCAAACUACCAGUCCAUCCCUCCUCCCCCACCCCCACUGGCAACCACAAGUCUGUUCUCUAGGUCUGUGAGUCUGUUUUUAUUUUGUAGAUAGGAUUAUUUGUGUCAUAUUUUAGAUUCCACAUAAAGGUGAUAUCAUAUGGUAUUUGUCCUUCUCUGACUUACUUCGCUUAGUGUGAGCAUCUCUAGUUGCAUUCAAAAAUGACGUUUUAGAAUCACACUGCAAAUUGCCUUUUGAGGUAAGUUCUGGAAAAAAAAACAAACUUUUUCUGGACCAUACCAGAUAGAUUUCUAGGAGGUAGGAUAUCCCUUUGGUUUGUGAAAUCAACUUGAGUGAGAAAUAAAGUAAUAUAAAAGAACACAUCAUUCACAUGAAAGCUUUUUUCUUACAGACUCUUUAUCAACCUCCACGAGGACACAGUUAUUAGAAUAACUUAAGGGAGUUCCCGUCGUGGCGCAGUGGUUAACGAAUCCGACUAGGAACCAUGAGGUUGUGGGUUCGAUCCCUGCCCUUGCUCAGUGGGUUGGCGAUCCGGCGUUGCCGUGAGCUGUGGUGUGGGUCACAGAUGCGGCUCGGAUCCUGCGUUGCUGUGGCUCUGGCGUAGGCUGGCAGCUGCAGCUCUGAUUCGACCCCUAGCCUGGGAACCUCCACAUGCCGUGAGAGCGGCCCAAGAAAUAGCAAAAAGACAAAAAAAAAAAAAAAAAAAAAAAGAGUAACUUAAGGAAAAUAAACUCAAUGAAUUCAAAGUAAGAUGAAAGCAUUGCAAACACAAUCUCCUCUAUGAUUCUGAAAUUUCUUGGGAAUUCAUGUAAGUUUUUUUAAUCAACUCUGAUAGUAUUAUACACCAUAUGAAAGAAAUCCCAGUUCAUUAGCAAUUCCGCUCAUGUUGCCAUUUCAGAGUCCACACAAGGAGGCCAAGCAUUAAUUUGGUUCGGCAGACAUUUACCCAGCACCUUCUAGUUGCUUGUCACUGUCCUAGGUGCUGGGAAUAGGAAAUGAAUAGAACACAGAGUUCGUACCUGCCUCUGGGCACUGAUAACAAAACAGAGGACGGGGCAUUGGAGGGUGAUGGGAACGCCAACACCUUCAUUUCCGCUUUCCCUGGAAGGAAUGCUCAGGGCUUUGCAAAGGUGGGAACUCUCGAGCUGCUCUUUUCAGAGUGGGUAGAAUUGCAUCCAGUGCAAAGUGGGGGCAGGGAAAUGCAAAAGCACAGAAGAUUAUAUACAGAAAACACACAGAAUAAGUUCUGUGCAUAUGGAAUGUAAAGAAGAAUGCCAUAGAAUCAAUAUUUAUGGGACACUCAGACAAUAGGGAUUUACCCCAAAUCUCUCAAACUGCUAGGUUUUCCUCCCAAAUCCAGCCCUGAUUCAUCUCUAGAUCCCCAGCACUUCACGCGGUAACUUACACAUAGGCGGUAUGACGGAAUUUGGAAUAUUUUGCUCUCCAUUCUUUAGUUCAUCCAGGGUAACAGAAGUGGACAUAGGGCUGCUGAGCUAAGUGUGAGGAAUAUCCCAGCCUCCCUUGCAACAUGGUAUGGCCAAGUGACCAGCUUCUGUUCGACAGGACAGGAGUGGAAAGGACAUGUGCCUUCCCCCUUCUCAUGGUUCCUUUCUUACUGGUUUGAAGGGAAGUGGACUAGUGGCUGGAACAGUCAUCUAGAUUGAAGGACACUGUAUGUUCAGGAAAAAAGAGCAAGAUAGAGCAUGUGUCCCGAAGACCACGCAGCUGCCAAGCCAGCCCCACACUGUUUACACAUGGACUCGGAUAUGAAAGAGAAACAAAUUCCUAGGCAGGCUGACCUCGGAGAUACUGCAGGUUUGCUUUCAGAUCACCAUAAUAAAGUGAACACUGAAGCAAAGAGUCAGUCCCAGGAGUUUUUGGGUUUCUCAAUGCAUAAAAAAAUUAGGUUUAUGGAGUUCUCACUGUGGCACAGUGGGUUCAAAAUCCAACUGCAGCCACUUGGGUCGUGACAGAGGCUGGGUUCCCUCCCUGGCCAGGCGUGGGGGGUAAAGGCUCCGGUGUUGCUCCAAAUGCAGCGUAGGUCACAGCUGUGGCUCAGAUUCAAUCCCUGGCCCAGGGAACUUCCAUAUGCCUUGAGUGUGGCCAUUACCAAAAAAAAAAAAAACGUUAUGUUUACAGUAGACUCUAGUCUAUUAAGUGUGUAACUGCAUUCUGUUUGACAUUAACACAUAUACACUACUAUACAUAAAAGAGACAAACAACACGGACCUACUAUAUAGCUUAGGGAACUCUACUCAACAAUUUGUAAUAGUCUAUAUGGGAAAAGAAUCUGAAAAAGAAUAUAUUUCUACAGAUAUAUAUAUAUAUAUAGGUAGAUAUAUAACUGAUUCACUCUGCAGUACACCUGAAACUAAUAGAACAUUGUAAAUAAACUAUACUUCAAUAAAAAUAGCACUGUACCUGAAAAAACAAUGUGCAUACUUUAAUUAAAAAUACUUUAUUGCUGGGAGUUCCCGUCAUGGCUCAGUGGUUAACGAAUCCGACUAGGAACCUUGGGGUUGAGGGUUCGAUCUCUGGCCUCGCUCAGUGGGUUAAGGAUCUGGUGUUGCUGUGAGCUGUGGGGUAGGUCGCAGAUGCGGCUCGGAUCCAGCAUUGCUGUGGCUCUGGUGUAGGCCAGUGGCUACAACUCCGAUUAGACCCCUAGCCUGGGAACCUCCAUAUGCC